GACGAACGCUGGCGGCGUGCUUAACACAUGCAAGUCGAACGGAAAGGCCCUGCUUUUGUGGGGUGCUCUAGUUGCGAACGGGUGAGUAACACGUGAGUAACCUGCCCUUGACUUUGGGAUAACUUCAUGAAACUUGGUCUAAUACCGGCUAGGAGCUCCUGCUUCAUGGUGGGGGUUGGAAAGUUUCGGCGGUUGGGGAUGGACUCGCGGCUUAUCAGCUUGUUGGUGGGGUAGUGGCUUACCAAGGCUUUGACGGGUAGCCGGGCUGAGAGGGUGGGCGGCCAAAUUGGGACUGGGAUAAGGCCCAGACCACUAAGGGAGGCAGCAGUGGGGAAUAGUGCACAAUGGGCGGAAGCCUGAUGCAGCAACGCAGCGUGCGGGAUGACGGCAUUCGGGUUGGAAACCGAUUUCGCCUGUGACGAAGCGUGAGUGACGGUAAUGGGUAAAGAAGCACCGGCUAACUACGUG
rnacentral:rRNA from 1 species